GCAAUGUCAUAUUGAAACACCGGUUCUCAUUCAUCGAUCACCGAAGUUAAGCACCGUCAAGCCUGGUCAGUACUUACAUAGGUGACCGCUUAGGAAUACCAGAUGCUGUAAG